AUUGAACGCUGGCGGCAUGCCUUACACAUGCAAGUCGAACGGCAGCACGGGAGCAAUCCUGGUGGCGAGUGGCGAACGGGUGAGUAAUAUAUCGGAACGUGCCCAGUCGUGGGGGAUAACGUAGCGAAAGCUACGCUAAUACCGCAUACGAUCUAUGGAUGAAAGCGGGGGAUCGCAAGACCUCGCGCGAUUGGAGCGGCCGAUAUCAGAUUAGCUAGUUGGUGGGGUAAAAGCUCACCAAGGCGACGAUCUGUAGCUGGUCUGAGAGGACGACCAGCCACACUGGAACUGAGACACGGUCCAGACUCCUACGGGAGGCAGCAGUGGGGAAUUUUGGACAAUGGGCGAAAGCCUGAUCCAGCAAUGCCGCGUGCAGGACGAAGGCCUUCGGGUUGUAAACUGCUUUUGUACGGAACGAAAAAAGUCUGCCCUAAUACGGUGGGCUCAUGACGGUACCGUAAGAAUAAGCACCGGCUAACUACGUG
rnacentral:rRNA from 1 species